AUUGAACGCUGGCGGCAUGCCUUACACGUGCAAGUCGAACGGCAGCACGGGUGCUUGCACCUGGUGGCGAGUGGCGAACGGGUGAGUAGUACAUCGGAACGUACCUUAUCGUGGGGGAUAACGCAGCGAAAGCUGUGCUAAUACCGCAUACGCCCUGAGGGGGAAAGCGGGGGAUCGAAAGACCUCGCGCGAUUAGAGCGGCCGAUGCCUGAUUAGCUUGUUGGUGGGGGAAAAGCCCACCAAGGCGACGAUCAGUAGCUGGUCUGAGAGGACUAUCAGCCACACUGGGACUGAGACACGGCCCAGACUCCUACGGGAGGCAGCAGUGGGGAAUUUUGGACAAUGGGGGCAACCCUGAUCCAGCAAUGCCGCGUGAGUGAAGAAGGCCUUCGGGUUGUAAAGCUCUUUUGUCAGGGAAGAAACACCGGCUCUAACACAGUCCGGGAAUGACGGUACCUGAAGAAUAAGUACCGGCCAACUACGUGCCAGCCGCCGCCGUAA
rnacentral:rRNA from 1 species